CAAGGAGUUUAACAUGUGUGCAAGUCAAAGGGUUCUACGAAACCCCUAGGCGCAGUGAAAGUGAAGUUCAUGCUGUACUCUUGUGCAUACGCAGUGCAGUGUGGCGAGGUGAGAUCUCCUUGUGCUCAUGACACACGCCGCAGGCCUUACUGGGCAUUAUUAGGGGGGCAAGGAGCGCAUCACCGGCCCGUCGCAUGUUGUGGUCAUGGGUUCACUUGUGUGCGGAUGGAUGUGUAUAUGUCCGGAGGCAUACAAAGCCUGUGCGUCAGCGCGGCGGAGCAUGAGCACCCAUGUUGAGACCCGAAAGAUGGUGAACUAUGCUUGCGUAGGUUGAAGCCAGAGGAAACUCUGGUGGAGGACCGUAGCGAUUCUGACGUGCAAAUCGAUCGUCAAACGUGAGUAUA
rnacentral:rRNA from 1 species